AUCGUGUCUUAAUCAUUGACAUUCAAAUCUUGUCUUAGAUGGAUGAUUCUUUAUUCCUGAGUUAAAACUUGUGAAACUUUAUAAGAUUUAGCAGUAGUCCUUUGGAAUUUGACUAAUCUCAAUGUUAUUAUGAACUCUGCAUGAGGUUCUUAUUUAUGUAUUUAUAUUUCUAUAACAAUUGUUUGUAGUCAGUGAUGUAUACUUAGUUAUAUAACUAGAUUGCUCUACAUAGACGUCAUUAAUUUGUUAUAAUACUGUUUGUUGAAGGAGAUCCUGACUCACUCUUCUUCGUUCGCUAUUUAGAAGUAUUUAUGUGACAAAACUCACGAGGUAAAAGUUUGAUCUUACAAUAAGGAGAUCCUGACUCACUCUUCACCUUCGUUCGCUAUUUAAAUGUGCUUUUGUAACAAAACUUACAUGGAUAAAAGAUUGA